AUUGAACGCUGGCGGCAGGCCUAACACAUGCAAGUCGAGCGGAUGAAGAGAGCUUGCUCUCUGAUUUAGCGGCGGACGGGUGAGUAAUGCCUAGGAAUCUGCCUGGUAGUGGGGGAUAACGUUCCGAAAGGAACGCUAAUACCGCAUACGUCUUACGGGAGAAAGCAGGGGACCUUCGGGCCUUGCGCUAUCAGAUGAGCCUAGGUCGGAUUAGCUAGUUGGUGAGGUAAUGGCUCACCAAGGCGACGAUCCGUAACUGGUCUGAGAGGAUGAUCAGUCAAACGGGAACUGGGACACGGUCCAGACUCCUACGGGAGGCAGCAGUGGGGAAUAUUGGACAAGGGGCGAAAGCCUGAUCCAGCCAUGCCGCGUGUGUGAAGAAGGUCUUCGGAUUGUAAAGCACUUUAAGUUGGGAGGAAGGGCAGUAAGUUAAUACCUUGCUGUUUUGACGUUACCGACAGAAUAAGCACCGGCUAACUUCGUGCCAGCAGCCGCCGUAAUAC
rnacentral:rRNA from 1 species